rnacentral:rRNA from 1 species
AUGGUGGAGCUCGGGAUGUUGGCAGAUCUGACCGGACUGGUGAGCACUCUGCCCACACCUGCCGAGGUCACCCUGCUCUGUGCCAUGCUCGGUAACUCACCCUCGCUGAUGCCAUGGGCGGAUCCAGCCCAGCGCCCCGGGCCCCCUUUGUAUACUGUAGCAGUUGCUACAAUAUUUUCCCUACAGCCCACAAAGAAAAUGGGCCUCACGCCCCGGGCCUGGGGCCUAGAUCCGCCAUUGUGUGCAGCUGAUGAGUCUUUCAGGGAUGCAAAUUGUGUGCCUUCGGAAAAUCAGAAUUAG